AGAGUUUGAUCCUGGCUCAGAUUGAACGCUGGCGGCAUGCCUUACACAUGCAAGUCGAACGGCAGCACGGGUGCUUGCACCUGGUGGCGAGUGGCGAACGGGUGAGUAAUACAUCGGAACAUGUCCUGUAGUGGGGGAUAGCCCGGCGAAAGCCGGAUUAAUACCGCAUACGAUCUAUGGAUGAAAGCGGGGGACCUUCGGGCCUCGCGCUAUAGGGUUGGCCGAUGGCUGAUUAGCUAGUUGGUGGGGUAAAGGCCUACCAAGGCGACGAUCAGUAGCUGGUCUGAGAGGACGACCAGCCACACUGGGACUGAGACACGGCCCAGACUCCUACGGGAGGCAGCAGUGGGGAAUUUUGGACAAUGGGCGAAAGCCUGAUCCGACAAUGCCGCGUGUGUGAAGAAGGCCUUCGGGUUGUAAAGCACUUUUGUCCGGAAAGAAAUCCUUGGCUCUAAUACAGUCGGGGGAUGACGGUACCGGAAGAAUAAGCACCGGCUAACUACGUGCCAGCAGCCGCGGUAAUACGUAGGGUGCAAGCGUUAAUCGGAAUUACUGGGCGUAAAGCGUGCGCAGGCGGUUUGCUAAGACCGAUGUGAAAUCCCCGGGCUCAACCUGGGAACUGCAUUGGUGACUGGCAGGCUAGAGUAUGGCAGAGGGGGGUAGAAUUCCACGUGUAGCAGUGAAAUGCGUAGAGAUGUGGAGGAAUACCGAUGGCGAAAGGCAGCCUCCUGGGCCAAUACUGACGCUCAUGCACGAAAGCGUGGGGAGCAAACAGGAUUAGAUACCCUGGUAGUCCACGCCCUAAACGAUGUCAACUAGUUGUUGGGGAUUCAUUUCCUUAGUAACGUAGCUAACGCGUGAAGUUGACCGCCUGGGGAGUACGGUCGCAAGAUUAAAACUCAAAGGAAUUGACGGGGACCCGCACAAGCGGUGGAUGAUGUGGAUUAAUUCGAUGCAACGCGAAAAACCUUACCUACCCUUGACAUGGUCGGAAUCCUGAAGAGAUUCGGGAGUGCUCGAAAGAGAACCGGCGCACAGGUGCUGCAUGGCUGUCGUCACCUCGUGUCGUGAGAUGUUGGGUUAAGUCCCGCAACGAGCGCAACCCUUGUCCUUAGUUGCUACGCAAGAGCACUCUAAGGAGACUGCCGGUGACAAACCGGAGGAAGGUGGGGAUGACGUCAAGUCCUCAUGGCCCUUAUGGGUAGGGCUUCACACGUCAUACAAUGGUCGGAACAGAGGGUUGCCAACCCGCGAGGGGGAGCUAAUCCCAGAAAACCGAUCGUAGUCCGGAUUGCACUCUGCAACUCGAGUGCAUGAAGCUGGAAUCGCUAGUAAUCGCGGAUCAGCAUGCCGCGGUGAAUACGUUCCCGGGUCUUGUACACACCGCCCGUCACACCAUGGGAGUGGGUUUUACCAGAAGUGGCUAGUCUAACCGCAAGGAGGACGGUCACCACGGUAGGAUUCAUGACUGGGGUGAAGUCGUAACAAGGUAGCCGUAUCGGAAGGUGCGGCUGGAUCACCUCCUU
rnacentral:rRNA from 1 species